GCCGUCGUAGGCCAUGGCGGCCGCCCACCGAAACUAUCACGGUCGUUGAUGCAAAUUUGAAAGCGGGAGCCGGGGGUUCGAAUCCUCCCGACGGCA